rnacentral:rRNA from 1 species
UACGGAGGGUGCGAGCGUUGUCCGGAAUCACUGGGCGUAAAGGGCGCGUAGGUGGCGCGGGCAGUCAACGGUGAAAGUUCGGGGCUCAACCCUGAAUCGGCCGUCGAUACUCCCGGGCUUGAGCACUGUAGAGGCAGAUGGAAUUCCGGGUGUAGCGGUGGAAUGCGUAGAGAUCCGGAAGAACACCGGUGGCGAAGGCGGUCUGCUGGGCAGUAGCUGACACUGAGGCGCGACAGCGUGGGGAGCAAACGGG